AUGUUCCUACGGGGGGCAGCAGUAGGGAAUUUUCGUCAAUGGGCGCAAGCCUGAACGAGCAAUGCCGCGUGAACGAGGAAGGUGUUCGGAUCGUAAAGUUCUGUUGAAGGGGAAAAAGAGCGGAGAGAGGAAAUGAACUCCGAUUGAUAUUACUCUUCGAGGAAGUCACGGCUAACUACGUGCCAGCAGCCGCGGUAAUACGUAGGUGGCGAGCGUUAUCCGGAAUGAUUGGGCGUAAAGGGUGCGUAGGCGGCCUGCUAAGUCUGGAGUGAAAGGUACCGGCUCAACCGGUACAGGCUCUAGAA
rnacentral:rRNA from 1 species